rnacentral:lncRNA from 1 species
GGUGCAGGCAGUGGGACGAGGAGGCCUUUUACCCCCAUCCACCGCAGCCCUUGACUUCACGCUCGCCUCGAAGCUUUCGCAAAGUAGAUACGGGGACUGACCCUGUUGACACACUAACCCAAACUCGCAGACGCGUGGGGCUCGCAUGUACCCAAGACAGGAAAACUUCACGUUGGCCUGGAAACUUCUUCCAGGCUAAGCCUGAGUCUUCACCAGACACUGCAGCACGAAGGCCCUUCUGCCUUUUGGCUCGCCCUGGCCCAGAAUGCGCACCAGCCGGCAAGAGAAAGAGGCCCACUGCAAUAUGCUGUGAAGAAUACAUAAGAAGUCAAACUGUUGACCUCUUUUCCCCAGCCCGUUCCAAAACUACAUCCCUGAGGAGUUGUGCACCUCUACGGAAAGUUCAGAUGAAAGAGCUAAUUCCCCUUGAUCUCUCUUCUUGUUCAGAGUGGAGGAAAAACAUAUACCAUCCCUUCCAUCAAUCCUCAGCAUAACUUUGCCAGGGACACUGGUAACAAGCUACUUUUACCUCAGAAGUUGGAGAGUAUCACUUGACCCACAUUGUGUAUGUGUAAAUAUCUUUAUUCAGUGUAUAUACAAUAUAUUCUUAAUUUGACUCUCAAAGUUUAUAAUUAGCAUUGAAUGAGUAUGAAACAUUGUUUUCCAAAUACUGUCAGCAAGCUAUUGAAUAUGUUGUUCCUGAUUUAUGAAUGAGAUUUUCAUCAGCAGAAACUUAUGACAAAUGACCAAUUACAUUGUCACUGC